GGGGUCUGAAUACUUUCCGUACCCACUGUAUGUGCAAAUAUAUACUUUUUCUAUUAAACACAUUUUUUGUUACGUUUUAUAUUCAUUUUCCACACUUGAAUGUUUUCAUCUAGAUUUGCCUAAUCUAGGUGUAAUGUAUUAGCCUAACUCUAUGUUUAACUAGUAACACUACUUCUUAGGGUCCCCCAGUCAUGCCUACUUCAAGAUAGGAAACAGAGUCAGUGUGAAAUCUUCAGUGAAAGAUCCAAAACAUGGAUGGGGAUCAGUCACUCACAACAGCAUCGGUGUCAUUAAAAGUAAAUACACUCAGCAUCUUUCACUGAUUUUACUCAUUCAGAUUCAUAUAUUGCGAGAUACCUGAAAAUGAAAUUAAACACAAUCAUUUACACAUCAAAUGAUUUUGGGGUUAUUAAUGACUUUCUGAUCUUCGCCAGGAAUUCAGGACGAGUCUUUGACUGUGGAUUUUCCUGAGCAGACAGAUUGGACUGGUGUCGCUUUAGAAAUGGAACUCAUAAACGGAGAUGUUUCAGAAGUGCUCAGUUUAAGGCCUGGAGCGAGGGUCCGUGUUAAACCCACCAUCAGAACUCCAGCACAUGGCUGGGGAAGUGUCACCAAGCACAGCACUGGAGUGGUCGUAGCUAUAGAUGGAACCAAAGUGACUGUGAACUUUCCUGAACAGUUUAGUUGGACUGGCAUUGUCUCAGAGAUGGAAGCUGUACCUUAAUGAUGAUACACAGCAUCAAGGAGCUGUUCACGACAUGUACACUGCACACGGGUUUAGAAUAUACAGUAUAUAUGUUUAGGGGUAAUGCGUUUGCUCUUAACACCAGGGUUUAAUGCACAGAUUAAAAAUGCCCAUUGAGACCCACUAUGACCUGACCCUUACAGUCUCAAAGAACCUAUUUUAACUGUGAAACAUAGUUAUUAUAUAAACAUAAACAAGAUUGCAUGAAAAAGGUAUAUUGACACUAGCAUAAUAUAUGCUAAUACAGCCCAUCCCUUGAGUGCGUUUCUUAUUUUCUUUAUAUGAUGUUAAGACUCUGCUACUCUCGCUCUCUGUCUUAGUCUGAUUAUUUAACACUAGAACUACCGGAAUUCUAUAACUACUAGAAUGGCCAUAGCUGUCAUUCUGACUGUUAUACUAGACUAAUCUGAAUGCCAUUUUUGUCAUAUCAUAUUUACAUUCGGAGCUUCUUUUGAGGUUUUACAAUGAAGUUUUGAAUGUUUUUGUCGUCAUAGUUUAUGACAUAAUCACCCU
rnacentral:lncRNA from 1 species